rnacentral:lncRNA from 1 species
GAGUCUUCUCCAGAACAUCUCUCGAUUAAACUCCUCGGUGGUCUCCUGGGCUUCGCCGACUUGUGGGUGUGGCGUGUGGGGGCCGAACGGUGGCGAAUGGAAAAGCUGAGGUAAGCGGAGCCACCUCCCUCGCCCAAGCCCGGCUCCCCGCCGCCGCCCCAGCCCGCCCUCUCCGCGACCCCGAGCCCGGCCUCUCCCCGACCCCGAGCCCGGCCUCUCCCCGACCCCGAGCCCGCCCCUGCCGUCGCCCGUUCUAACUCCGUCAGCUCACCCCGCACUCGAGGCAGGAGCAACCGCAGCUCCUCCGCCAAGUGCCGGAGCUGCUCCAAAGGCGAAGCCAGGGUGGGGACUGCGGCUGCAGGUGCAGUUGCGCUCGCCAUCUCAGUCGCUUGCCGAAGGCCGCAAACACAGGCCUCCGCUGCCACUGCCGGAGCCGCACUGCGACAGCCGCUCCACUUCCGGGCCACAGCGUCAAGGGCUCGUUUCCGUCAACAAGCCGUCCAGCCCCGUCCCAGAGGCCCUGCCCUGCCUCCUCCCGCCACGAGGCCCGGCCCCGCCCGAGGUCCAGCACCACCCAUCCCGUUAUCAGAGACCAGGCCUGGCCCCGCCUCCUCCCGCCCCGCCCUGUCCCCUGAGGUACAGCACCAACCAUCCCACUCUCAGAGGCCAGGACAGGCCACGCCUUCUCUUGCCCCUUAGGCCAGGCUACACAAGCAAGCCUCAGGCUCACCGUCUUUCUUAUUCAUCAUUCAUUCAUUUAUUUGAUUAGUUGAAAACACUUCCGACUAAGGAAGCAGAGAGCCCACAAUCCUGUGGGAAAACAGGCCUGGGAACUAAUAUCUCAGGGGUAGUGAGGGUCGGGCCCAGAUCCUCAAAGGGGAGAAUAAAAAAGCUAGGGUGCCGUAUGUUGCAUAAAGAAAGUAGCAGGAAUAAACCUGCCAGAUGUACAGCAGUAGCAUAAGUAGGUGAACAGGCAUAAUUUUCAAGUAUUUUCUUUGAUGGAGAUGAGACCUGAAGUUGUGACCAAAGCACCGCUGCAGCAAGCUCCAACACAUGUAAGCCAUCAAGGGGAUGUUAAAAAACGCCAGCUGGAAAAGAACAGAACCAUAGCUUACUCCCAAGUCCUUGGAAGAGUUUGGUCUUAAUAAUGCAUUAUUAGUGGAUCCUAAGACUAUGCUGCUAUCUGUCUUGGCGUUAGCUAAUUUACUUCAAGCACAGUUGCUUAUAACACAACAGCUGACUUGUGGCUAGUUGUGUAUUUGCCCAUGUCCUUUUAUUCAUCUUAGAGGCAGGUAUCAUUUAAUUUAUGCUGAAGUCCCAACUUGUAGUACAGUAUCAUAUACACAGUUAAUACCCAAUGGUGUUAAGCUGGAAUUGAACUGAGUAAAUGUAUACACACACAUACAACAACCCCUCUUUUUUGGUGGAGUGAGGGGAGGACUUGGCUAUCAGUAUUUUUUUUCUUACCUCCAUUUUUGUUUGAGGUAGCAUGAUAAGUACUGGAAUAUAAAUUAGAGUAUCUAAAUUAUAAUCCAAGUUGAGCUGCUGUAUGAUUCAUUCAUUUAACAAAUAUUUAUUGAGCACCCAUUAUGUAGCAGGCAUGAGCUAGGCUCCAAGUUGGGGACACAAUGGCAAACAAGUUAGAAAAGGUCCGUCAUAGAGCUUACAUUCUAACAGGGAGAAGACAGACAAAAAAAAAAACCAAAAAAUAUAAUUACAGAUCGUGAUUAGUUCAAUGAAGGAAAGAACUGGGUCAUGAGAAGGUAACUGGGAGAAAGGCUCUCAGAGGCCAGAAGGACAAGAAUGAAUCAGCGGAGGGAAGUGCAUUCUAGGCAGAAGGAACAAAUGAAAAGCCCAGAGGUGGGAGAGGUCUUGGCCUCUUUAAGGAAGUGCAUGCAGAGCAUGAGCCAGGUGGAAAUUGGGGCAGUCGGCAGGACCCAGAUCACUGCUCUGCUUCAAAGCAUUUCAAGCUGAAAAGUAAGUGAGCUGAUUGUAAAGUUUUUAAAAGAGCACACUGGAUGCUCUGUAUUAAGCUGAGAGUAAGGAGGCAAGAAUAUCAGGGAGAAGACCCAGGCAAGAAAUAAUUACAACUUAGAUUAGGAAAACAGAAAUGGAGAGAAGUGGAUGGAUUCAAGAUAUGCAUUGGAAGCAGAUCAAAUAAGGUAGAGCUUGCUGGUGAAAUAGAUACAGGGUAUGAAGGAAAGGGAAUAAUUGAGGAUACAUCUUGGAGAAAUCAGGUGAAUGGUGGAGUCAUUUAUUAAAACUGGAAAAACAGAGAGGAACAGGUUUGGGGUGGAAAUAAUGUUCCUAUCAGAGAGACAUCACAUGAAGUUGAGAUGCCUGUUAGACAUCUGUGGCCAUUGGAUAUAGAGGCACUUGAAGUGCAGAGAAGAGGUCUAGAUCAGAGAUAUAGAUUUGGGAUUCAUGGGUCUGGAUGAUACAUAAAAUCCAUUAUUAGUGUACUAUUUAUUAGAAUAUGAAUGUAAACAUUUACAAAGGAAAAAACCCUGCCUUUUGGUAAGGCUCAGGAUUCAUUUGGUAUGAGAGAGCUCCUUAGAGACAGCCUCCAUCAACAUAAUAGAAAACUGCAAUGAGGCUGGGUGCAGUGGCUCACGCCUGUAAUCCCAGCACUUUGGGAGGCCGAGACGGGCGGAUCACCUGAGGUCAGGAGUUCGAGACCAUCCUGGCCAACACAGUGAAACCCUGUCUCUACUAAAAAUACAAAAAUUAGCCGGGCAUGGUGGCAGGCACCUGUAACCCCAGCUACAUGGGAGGCUGAGGCAGGAGAAUCACUUGAAUUAGGGAGGCAGAGGUUGCAGUGAGCCGAGACGAUGCCAUUGCACUCCAGCCUGGACGACAAGAUCGAGACUCCAUCUCAAAAAAAAAAAAAAAAAGAAAAGAAAAGAAAAGAAAACUGAAAUGAACCCAGGACCUACUCAUGUAUAUAAUGCUGCUAUGCAGAGAAUAUUCUGGACUUGGGUCAGUGUUUGCUAGGCAGAAGUCUUUCCUACUUGGCUGUCUCUAAUCCUGUUGGAUCAUGUUCUACUGCCCUGUUAGAAGGCCAUGAACUUAUUUUGAAUGUUUUUGGAUCUCUUCCAAAACUUCAAAUUUUGGUCCACUAACUCCAUUAGGUGAGUAAAAUAAAGAAACUGUUAGAUAAAUACUUUUCAAAUCUGUUUAUGUAGUUUUUCUAUGGAUCAAGGUUCUUUGUGUGUUUAUUUUAAAGGAAUCAAAUGUAAACCUAAUACAUCAGUUUGUUUCCUAAACAAGUACAUUGCUAGGAAAGCCCAGGUCUGGUUUUUGAAUAAUGCAGUUUCCACUGAAUAACUGACCCAUUUUUUUAAUGUGUCUAUUUUUUAGUUUCCUCCCUCUAAAAUAUUUUCCUUCUUCAUCAUCAUAAUCAGUUUUGGUUUACUCAGAAAUCUAAAACUUUUUCUACCAUAAUCCCUUGUUUCAUUUUUUUGUCAAUGAAAAAGCACAGUGAAACAAAAACAACAAAAACUUCUUUCACCUCUUAUAAACACUUCAUGACAAAAAUGUAUUUUAGGCUAGGCAUGGUGGCUCACGCCUAUAAUCCUAGCACUUUCGGAGGCCAAGGCAGGUGAAUCAUCUGAGGUCAGGAGUUCGAGACCAGCCUGGCCAACAUGGUGAAACCCUGUCUCUACUAAAAGUGCAAAAAUUAGCCAGGCAUGGUGGCACAUGCCUGUAAUCCCAGCUACCCAGGAGGCUGAGGCAGGAAAAUCGCUGGAACCCAAGAGGUGGAGGCUGCAGUGAGCCAAGAUUGCACCACUGUGCUUCAGCCUGGGCGACAGCAGAACACUGUCUUGGGGAAAAAAAAAUGUAUUUUAGAUGUUUACAUGAGAGUGGUGGAAGGAGUUUAGGAAGCACUUUAAAAGCAAAUGAAGCUUUUAUUAAAGACUGCCCUGCAAGUAAAGUAGGAAAGAUGAUCUAUGGUACUUAAUUCUGGAUUUUGGAUUUAAUUCAUAACUGUUAUGCAAUUAGUCUGACAAGUCCAAGAUGUUCUUAAAUUGCUUUUCUGACUUCUUACCUGGAGAAUUCCAAUUAUAAAUGUUAUGCUGCCUUGUAGGAAAUGUCCAUUAACAAAUAUCCCAAAGGAAAAGCAGCAACCAAAUUUGC